UACACAUGCAAGUCGAACGGCAGCACGGACUUCGGUCUGGUGGCGAGUGGCGAACGGGUGAGUAAUACAUCGGAACGUGUCCUGGAGUGGGGGAUAGCCCGGCGAAAGCCGGAUUAAUACCGCAUACGCUCUGAGGAGGAAAGCGGGGGAUCUUUCGGGACCUCGCGCUCAAGGGGCGGCCGAUGGCAGAUUAGCUAGUUGGUGGGGUAAAGGCCUACCAAGGCGACGAUCUGUAGCUGGUCUGAGAGGACGGCCAGCCACACUGGGACUGAGACACGGCCCAGACUCCUACGGGAGGCAGCAGUGGGGAAUUUUGGACAAUGGGCGCAAGCCUGAUCCAGCAAUGCCGCGUGUGUGAAGAAGGCCUUCGGGUUGUAAAGCACUUUUGUCCGGAAAGAAAACCUCGUGGCUAAUAUCCAUGGGGGAUGACGGUACCGGAAGAAUAAGCACCGGCUAACUACGUGCCAGCAGCCGCGGUAAUACGUAGGGUGCGAGCGUUAAUCGGAAUUACUGGGCGUAAAGCGUGCGCAGGCGGUCCGUUUAGACAGAUGUGAAAUCCCCGGGCUU
rnacentral:rRNA from 1 species